rnacentral:rRNA from 1 species
UUGGGGAGGGUUAGGGCUCGACCCCGGAGAAGGAGCCUGAGAAACGGCUACUACAUCCAAGGAAGGCAGCGGGCGCGCAAAUUACCCAAUCCCGACACGGGGAGGUAGUGACAAUAAAUACUGAUACAGGGCUCUUUUGGGUCUUGUAAUCGGAAUGAGUACAAUUUAAAUCCCUUAACGAGGAACAAUUGGAGGGCAAGUCUGGUGCCAGCAGCCGCGGUAAUUCCAGCUCCAAUAGCGUAUAUUAAAGUUGUUGUGGUUGAAAAGCUCGUAGUUGAACCUUGGGCCUGGCUGGCCGGUCCGCCUCACCGCGUGCACUGGUCCGGCCGGGCCUUUCCCUCUGCGGAACCCCAAGCCCUUCACUGGGUGUGGCGGGGAAACAGGACUUUUACUUUGAAAAAAUUAGAGUGCUCAAGGCAGGCCUAUGCUCGAAUACAUUAGCAUGGAAUAAUAGAAUAGGACGUGUGGUUCUAUUUUGUUGGUUUCUAGGACCGCCGUAAUGAUUAAUAGGGACAGUCGGGGGCAUCAGUAUUCAAUUGUCAGAGGUGAAAUUCUUGGAUUUAUUGAAGACUAACUACUGCGAAAGCAUUUGCCAAGGAUGUUUUCAUUAAUCAGGAACGAAAGUUAGGGGAUCGAAGACGAUCAGAUACCGUCGUAGUCUUAACCAUAAACUAUGCAGACUAGGGAUCGGACGAUGUUACAUUUUUGACGCGUUCGGCACCUUACGAGAAAUCAAAGUGCUUGGGCUCCAGGGGGAGUAUGGUCGCAAGGCUGAAACUUAAAGAAAUUGACGGAAGGGCACCACCAGGGGUGGAGCCUGCGGCUUAAUUUGACACAACACGGGGAAACUCACCAGGUCCAGACACAAUGAGGAUUGACAGAUUGAGAGCUCUUUCUUGAUUUUGUGGGUGGUGGUGCAUGGCCGUUCUUAGUUGGUGGAGUGAUUUGUCUGCUUAAUUGCGAUAACGAACGAGACCUUAACCUGCUAAAUAGCCCGUAUUGCUUUGGCAGUACGCCGGCUUCUUAGAGGGACCAUCGGCUCAAGCCGAUGGAAGUUUGAGGCAAUAACAGGUCUGUGAUGCCCUUAGAUGUUCUGGGCCGCACGCGCGCUACACUGACGGAGCCAGCGAGUACUCCCUUGGCCGGAAGGCCUGGGUAAUCUUGUUAAACUCCGUCGUGCUGGGGAUAGAACAUUGCAAUUAUUGCUCUUCAACGAGGAAUCCCUAGUAAGCGCAAGUCAUCAGCUUGCGUUGAUUACGUCCCUGCCCUUUGUACACACCGCCCGUCGCUACUACCGAUUGAAUGGCUCAGUGAGGCGUCCGGACUGGCCCAGAGAGGUGGGCAACUACCACUCAGGGCCGGAAAGCUCUCCAAACUCGGUCAUUUAGAGGAAGUAAAAGUCGUUACAAGGUC